GGAUUGCCUCAGUAACGGCGAGUGAAGCGGCAACAGCUCAAAUUUGAAAUCUGGCCCCUUUAGGGUCCGAGUUGUAAUUUGUAGAGGAUGUUUCGGCGUUGGCGCCGCCCAAAGUUCCUUGGAACGGGACGUCAUAGAGGGUGAGAGCCCCGUGUCCGGGUGGAUGCCUUCGCCAUGUGAAGCUCCUUCGACGAGUCGAGUUGUUUGGGAAUGCAGCUCAAAACGGGAGGUAAAUUUCUUCCAAAGCUAAAUACCGGCUGGAGACCGAUAGUGCACAAGUAGAGUGAUCGAAAGAUGAAAAGCACUUUGGAAAGAGAGUCAAACAGCGCGUGAAAUUGUUGAAAGGGAAGCGCUUGCGGCCAGACUUGGCCGUCGUUGCUCGAGGGGAUCUCGUGUCCCUUUUGUUCUUCGGCGGCUGGGCCAGCAUCGACUCGGGCGGCUGGAUAAAGGCUGCGGGAACGUGGCUCUCUCCGGGGAGUGUUAUAGCCCGUGGUGUAAUGCAGCCAGCCUGGGUCGAGGUCUGCGCAUCUGCUAGGAUGCUGGCGUAAUGGCCCCAAGCGGCCCGUCUUGAAACACGGACCAAGGAGUCUAACAUUCGUGCGAGUGUUCGGGCGUUAAACCCGUGCGCGUAAUGAAAGUGAACGUUGGUGGGAACCCGCAAGGGUGCACCAUCGACCGAUCCUAAUGUCUUCGGAUGGAUUUGAGUAUGAGCACGUAUGUUGGGACCCGAAAGAUGGUGAACUAUGCCUAAGCAGGGCGAAGCCAGAGGAAACUCUGGUGGAGGCUCGCAGCGGUUCUGACGUGCAAAUCGAUCGUCAAAUUUGGGUAUAGGGGCGAAAGACUAAUCG
rnacentral:rRNA from 1 species